GGAAGAAAGAUCCAAUCUAUUACCCUUAAGUUUAAUGUUAGCUAUAUGUAUCUCAAAGAUGCUCUUAAUGGAGAUGGGGAAGUUCUUCACUAUUUCUAUUUUUCUGAGGAUUUUUAUAAUGAAUAGAUUUUGAUUUUGUCAAAUUAUUUAUUUGCAUCGGUUGAAAUGAUCAUGAGAUUUUUCUUCUUUAGACUGUUAAUAUAGUGGACCGUAUUGAUUGCUUUGCAAAUACUGAACCAGCCUGGCAUCUCUGGAAUAAAUUCUACUUUGUCAUGCCAAUCAAAUUUCAAACUAUACUUUGCUGUGGGCAUGGAUGGAGAAGCAGGUCACAUCUGAUGAAUGAAGAGGAGCUUCCAAGCAGCCAAAGUAAAGUAUUUUGCUACACAAACUGCAGGAUCAAUGUUCGUGUUUUGAAGCUCAAGAGAUUGACAGCUGUAGAAAUUAAGUUCCAGAAUAUAUCCACCAGCCAGGUUCAUAAUUGUCUCAGAAGUGGCCCUGGGAAACCCAAACAGCUCCAAGGACCACUAUACCAGGCCACUCCGCUUCUCUAAUAAAAUAUUUCUACCACUACUCUUAAAAUUUGUUUUUAAAAUUUAAUUUUUAAGAGCUGUUUUAGGUUUACAACAAAAUUAAGAAAGAGGUACAGAUAUUUCCCACAUACCCCCUGUCCCAUACAUGCAUAACUUCCCCUUUAUCAACGUCAGUCUCCA
rnacentral:lncRNA from 1 species